rnacentral:lncRNA from 1 species
AUACAUACAUAUAUAUACACACACACACACACACACACACACACACACACACACCUACACACAGUUGAAACUGAGGAGGAUUGACUCUUUUUGUAUUCCAGAGUGGAUGAUGAAAACAACCAGGAGGUGAAUGUAGAUAAUUCAACAGUUGGUUAUGGCAAUUAAUCAUUGAGAUCGAUUAACAAUAGAUCUUUUAACGGAGACCAACAAUGGAAGAGACAGCUGAGACACUGUAAUUUUCCAUUCGAUGCACUUUUCUUGAUUGCUUGUUCUAGUUGAACUGCCGUGCGCCAAGUUCUCACAUGCAUUUUUAUACAGUCUCCAAUGUCUUAACCUUCCACCUGCAUUUUGAAUGCCACAAAGACAUUACUAUAAACAAUUGUCAUCACCUGACACCUUUGUAUACAUUUACAAUAGUGGUGGGCAACCCCUGUCUGUGGGCUACAUGUGGUCCUCGAGCAAGAUUUAUCUGGCCCGUCACUAAAUUUAUCUAUUGUAUAUUAAUAUGGCCUGCUGCGUCGUGCCAAUACAGCGACCGCCUAGACUAGAUGGUGCCAGUAAAUUCUGGAAUAUUCAAGAUGCUUAG